rnacentral:lncRNA from 1 species
UUCCUCCUAAUUAAACACACAGUCUGGAUCGUCAGUGCCUCAGAGACACUACGGCCAGUCUCCUGUUCUCCACGGCAAGCAAGCAGGUGCUGAGUAAGUGCUCUUGGCUCUCGUGUUGCAUGAAGUCUUGAGAACAGGAAAAUGAGAAGGCUCCCAUUUGUUACCAUCUUGGCAGCCACAGUGGACCACAGACAGGAAGAAAGGGGUUGGGCUCAGGGGAGGGGCCUUGAAGUCACAAGCGAAACUCUGGGGUCGCAUCCAACCCCCCCCCCAAAAAAAAAACAGAAUCGAUUUCAUGGACUUCCAUUCAUGAAUUCUGCAGACAUCAAGUGGCACUUACUUAGGGCCAGGCCCUGAGCACCGAGUGAGGGUACGCAGGAGUCCCCUCCCUCUCCCACUGUGGAAGAGCUGCUUUCUCCAGUGGUGAACAGCAAAGGAGAGGAGCCCAGAGACUAGAAGAUCUGCGGUGACUGGCGCACAGACCCAUCUCAGUCCUCCCCUACAUGGGAUCGGCCGACUCUUGCCUCCCCCACCGACAGAGGGCAGUGGGGUGUUUGUUCCCCAGAGCAGGCCAGCUGCUGGCUUUGCUUCUCUCUUAGAGCCACCGCGACCAUCUCCGACCCAGGGGCUUAGCCCACAGGCAGCUGCGGUGCGUGGGCCGGGAGCAGGCAGGCAAGUGGGCAGGCAGACAGGCAGCAGAACACUCGAAAACUGUCUCUGGCCAGGGCUAGGUGUCUCCCCAGAGGACACGAAGACCACGGAUAUCGUCCCUCCUGCCUUUUGAUGAUUUAGACAUGGCUGGAGAGCCCAGGCCCGGCCCCACCCAGCAAGGCCAGAAGAGGCAGCCGGGCACAGCCAUCUCCUGCAGCAGUAACUAUGACCUGGACUACAAGCUGUACAGGGAAGAUGUCCCCUACCGUAGUGUGUAUGAAUGCCAAAGAAUCCCUCCACUCAUUAACCGCGUGCCUGUCAAGAUCCGGAGGACCCAGGUGGGCAUGGGGAUCAAGAGCAGCUGCAGUCCCCACAAGGGCCCCAGGAAGAGCCACCUGCCCCAAGAGCAAAUAAAGCGGUCAGAGGCCAGUGAAGAAAACAGGGCCCUGGUGAGUAAGAGAUCCUCACGCAGCAACACUGAAGCCAAGCAGGAGCCCAGGGGCCAGAGGCCCCAUCCAGAAGCAGACAGCCCCGAGGACAGCAUAGACCCAGAGGAGACAGUGAAGAAUCAUGCAUCAGACCAGGAGGGCAGUCAGUAGAAGAGUGGAACCCCUCCCAGCUCCUUCCCAGGCUUCCUUCCUUGCCUCGUCCUGCCAGUUCCAAGUGUGGAGCGUCCUGCAGCCACCAGCCCCGCUUUCCCAGUUCCAGUGAUGCACAGGAAGAUCCACUCAAGUUCUACAGUCCCUUCCGGUCUUUAAGCUCCUCGGUGUGUGUCCCACAUAACCCACCUUUGGUUCCAGACUGCCCACCCACCCUAUAAAGCCCUCAUUCAGAAUAGGGAUAUCAUUUUUACGUCCUGUUUCUAUCUUGUCUCUCGCUUGACACUGUGUAUUUCAGACCUGCUCUGGAAAUGCUGUAAUGUCAAAGGGGAAGAAUAAAAUUUGUAUUUUUCCCUGGUCA